rnacentral:rRNA from 1 species
UACGUAGGGGGCGAGCGUUGUCCGGAUUUAUUGGGCGUAAAGAGCUCGUAGGCGGUUUGUCGCGUCUGCCGUGAAAGUCCGGGGCUCAACUCCGGAUCUGCGGUGGGUACGGGCAGACUAGAGUGAUGUAGGGGAGACUGGAAUUCCUGGUGUAGCGGUGAAAUGCGCAGAUAUCAGGAGGAACACCGAUGGCGAAGGCAGGUCUCUGGGCAUUAACUGACGCUGAGGAGCGAAAGCAUGGGGAGCGAACAGG